GGGUGAUUAGCUCAGGUGGUAGAGCAGCUGACUCUUAAUCAGCGGGUCGUAGGUUCGAGUCCUACAUCACCCACCA
rnacentral:tRNA from 1 species